rnacentral:lncRNA from 1 species
ACCAUACCAUAACUGUAAAGAUCAGAUUUUGAUGUUAUUGGGAGGUUUGCUAGCCAUUCUGGUGCCAAAUAUCCUCUCGUGCCUCUAAUGGUAGUCAAGGACCGGUACCUUUGAUCCUUUGUGCUUAUAAGCUUCGCAAGGCCAAAAUCAGACACCUUGGCAUUGAAAUUCGCAUCCAAGAGAAUGUUUUCUGGCUUUAUAUCACAGUGAACAAUGCAAUCUCGACAUUCCUCAUGAAGAUAAGUGAUUCCUCUUGCAGUCCCAAGAGCAAUGUUGAACCUGCGCUUCCAAUUCAAUAAUUUCCCUGACUGAUCUUCGGUCGUGAACAGGAAAUGAUCCAACGAACCAUGUUUCAUGAACUCGUAUACUAAAAGCCUGUGACGCCCUUCGGAGCAAAAGCCGAUCAAUCUAACCAGAUUCAAAUGGUGAGUACUGCUUAUAGUUGCAACCUCCAUCCGAAACUGUCUCUCGCCUUGUUCAAUUCCCUCAAGUUGCUUUGCUGCAACUACUGUUCUGUUAGCAAGAACUCCUCUAUAAACAGCUCCAAACCCUCCUGCUCCAAGCUUAUCCUUAAACCCCUUCGUCCAGCGAUGCAGAUCCUUGUAAGAAAAGUGGAUGGGAGCACCUGAGGCAUAAUCAAGAAGUGUAUACUGAGCCCACACACCUCCAAAUUUGGGACUACUUUUGCAACAAAACCACCAAAACAAACCCACUAAAGCAGCCAAACCCAAAAGAGUGCCUGCAACCAAGACACCAACUUCCCAACCCCGCGAUUCCAGGAACUUUUUAUCUCCACCAAUCUGGUCAGAAGGCAAAGGAUUUGGUUGCACUGGUCCACAAACCUUAAUAUAAGAAGUACCAAAAAGCACUGGACCCUGAUAUCCACUAACAAAAUCAGGUGUGAUUUUCAUGUAACAAUAUAUAUAUGUGUCUGCUGUAGAAGUGCAAGCCAUGCAAGAAGGGCUUGAUAAACAAUUCCCUCUGCAAGCUGUUAUCCCAAUGGAAUGCUCAGCCUGGAAAGUAAGAAAUUUAGUCUGCUUUAACUCCAGCAUUGUUACGUUCCCUGCACAAUCCGCAACCUCCACUUUUCUCUUACACCCUUUUCUACUAUCAUUCACAUCCACAGCCUCAAAAUUCAGAGACGGGCAUUUGCAAAUCGGACUCAAACUUGACUCGUUAUAACUACAGAUCCCCAUGUUUCCACAGUAUCCAUAAACCUGACACUGAUCUGCUAAAGCUGCCCAUGUCAUAGCUGUAGUUCCACCACUAUACAUUCUCAGAUUCCCAUCGCUACCUAACCUCAAAAAUCUCAUUAUCUCACCCCCUUCUCCAUAAUCAUUGCCAAAAGCAACAGACAACCGCGAACCAGCAUCUAAAAGAUUUAAAAUCCCAUUUGGCUGCAACUGCAAGGUAGGAGGAGUCAACUUCAAAGCAGAACUCAAGCCUUGAUUCCAGUACACAACACUGUCGUUCCAUGUCAAGCUCAUAUUUCCACUGCUUAGAAGCCGGAAAGAGUAAACCCCUGAUCGCAAAGUUUGGUUUACAGUUAAAGUCUGUGACGGGACAAGAGUGUCGGUUGGGUUUUCAAAACUGGACCAGACAUUGAUACUGCCGGCUUUCAGUACCAGGUUUCCAGUAUCAUCAAGUGAAGCAGAAGUGACACCAAGGUGGGCAGUGUUGGAGGUCCACACGGUGGCACCUGAACGGUUGGUGAGAAGGAGAUUUCCGUUGGGGAGGAACUGGAAUACUCCAUCGUAGUCAAUGACAGCUGCAGAGGCAGUGCCACCAACAACAUUGGCAGUUGUCCAGAUGGAAACUCCAGUAGUUCUAUGGGAGAUGGAAACGGUGUAGGAAGUGGGAUCCACUUGGGUAAAGCCUAGAAAGAAAGUGUUGUUUGGAGACGACCAGGUUUGGCUUGUGUUGGAGGCAUAAAGAGAGGAGCCUGGUGGUAUGUUUGCUGUGGAAGUAGUGGUGAAGACGAGAAGGAGAGGAAGCUGGAGUAGGAGAAGAGAGCAGAAGUUCAUUAUUAUUAUUUUUUUGUGUGUGGGCACAAUUGAGGCUGAGUGGUUAGUUGAUUUCUCGAUGUCUUAUAAAUGCAAAAGAAGUGAGGAUUUUCCCAUGUCUAACGUUGGACUGUUUUGUUUUUCCAAGGAAAAAAAAAAAGACAACAAAAGAAAAGUAAGAACCACGGGAAAAAUUGGUUUAGAACCAUCAGAAAAUUCAUUGCGUAUGCCGUAAGGCCAGACAGAAUCACAGAACACAAGACUUUGAACAAGGAAUACAGCCUCAAGAACCGAAGGUCUCUAGUACUUUCUAGUGGUCACCGUUUCUCAUAGAAUGAUUUUCUAAUUCUCCUUUACACUUGUUAACUAUUCAAGUAAUUUACUCUAAAGUUUAGAUUAUAAUCUUUAUAUUAAUAAGCUUUAACUUUAAGAAUGUAAUAUUUAUACUUGUAACUACUCAUGAUAUAUUAAAUAUAUGGGGUAUAUAGUCAUUAAAGCUUGAUGGAAGCUUUGGCUAUAAAUACUGUUAUUUAAUCCUCAUUCUAAUUUACUCAAUUUCCUAAAGUUUUACACCAUUUAUAUAGAGUGAAUAAAGUUUAGAAAUGCCAAAUAUAUAUAAAAGAGAACAGUGAAUACGUCAGGAACAUUAAUAGGUGGAGGUAUUUUUUUUAUUAUUAAAUCUUAUAAUUUUGUUAUAAAUAUAUUUAUUCCGCAUUAUAGAAUUGUUAAUUAAGUUUUACAAGUAAUCAAAAUAAAAAAAGGAGAGAGCUCGUAAAGAAAUAACCUGGAAUCAAAGCACAUUCCCACAAAUAAAAGAUAUUUCCCGCAGAUGAAACUCAUUAUGACUUCGAAUGGACUAGACAAAGGUAUGUUAUUUGGUAUUUUCUAGUUAUUACAAAAUUGUUCGAGUGUAUGGAAGUUUUUUCUAAUUUUUUUUCAUAGUAAAUUAAUGUAUUGACUCCUAAGAUCAACAAUAUUUAUAAAUAUUGCCUAUGUUUAUUUUUUCUUUUCAAAAACUUUAAAGCAAUGAAAUUACUUAUUUAGUUCUAACGUCAAAAAAGUAUUAAUUGUUGAUCAAGAGUUUUUUUGUUUUUUUUAGAAUAUAGUAAAAAUAUAUUUUUAUCUUUAGAAAAAACAAAUAACAAGACAUAUAUCUAAGAGUAUUUUUAUCUUUUCACACAAGUUUUUUUUAUGAUAUAUUAUUAUUUUUUAAUUUAGUUUUUAUUUUUUUAACUUUAGAUUUUUCCCUUAACUUUUUUUUUGUUAAAGUUGUAUUGCCACAAAGAAAUAGGUGAGGGGUUUGUUUGGUACGUCUUUUUAAAUAUAUAGAAACCACUUAAAAGCUUUAAUUUUUAAGAACAUGAGAUUAAUUACCAGCUUCUUUUAAAAAUUAAUUUUUUUAUUAUAAUUUUGCUUUAUUCUUAUGUGACAAAAUUAUCCUCCAACCAAGUGUGAAGGCAUGUUAAAGACUUGGAUGUCCUAUAGCCUAAAUUAAAAUUUUAUCAAUAUUGUUUAACUAGAUUUAUGUAAAAUAAAUUUGUAAAUCUUGAAUAAAUUAUAAAACAAUCCUGAAAUUUUGAAUGGAGUCUUCUAAUAUAAUGUUUUAACUUGGGUUAAAAUUUUAGAAUUUUUAGAGAAAUUCAGAAAUUUAAUAAAAAAUCAUAAUUUGACCAGUUUUAUAUUAUUGAGCUGAAAUUUUAUAAAAAAUCUUAAACAUUAUUUAAUAAAAUCUAGUUAAAAUUUUAGAAUAAACAGAGCUUGUUAGUGUUGUUGUAACCCAAUUUUAGAUUCACUAAGAUUUUCUCGAAUGUUAUUUUAUUUCUAUUAUUAUUUAUAAAAAUCCAAAAAAAUAAGAAAAAAGUUUAAAAUUCAAAAAAUAUUUUUUUCUCGAGUCAACCGCAUCUUUCCAUCAAAACAGAGUUCACCGGGUCAAUACGGGUCAAACCAUGUCAACCAGGGUAAAAAAGGAGUUUUCGGUUCGGGUCAAAACCAUCAUUUUCGACCAAAACCAAGUUCACCGGAUCCAUACGGGUCAAACCAUGUCGACCAAGGUAAAAAAUGAGUUUUCGGGCUGUUUCGGGUCAAAACCGAGUUCAUCGGGUCAAUACGGGUCUAACCAUGUCGACCGGGAUGAAAAAUGAGUUUCAGGUCAUUUUGGGUCAAAAUUGUUACUUUUUGGUCAAAACCCGGUCCACCGGGUUGAUACUCAUUGAAAGUUUUUUUUAAUGUUUCAACAUAAUUUUCGGUAAUUAAAAUUGAUUUUUAGCGAUUGAGUCGGGCUUUUUCUAAUACUGAUUUGAGUUUUUAAUUUUAUCUAUAUAAAUAUUUAUUAUUAUAUAUAAUAAAACAAAAUCAAUAAUACAAAAAUUUGUAAUAUUAGGCGGGGCAGUUCAACUAUUGUAGGCAGCGUAAUUUUGCCGUCAAUUAUUUUAGGCAAUGUAAUUUUGUCGAUACCAUUAUAGGCGUUGUAGGCGGAGUAAUCGUGCCGCUACCACGUUGUCCCAUGUCACUGGCUAUAAAUAGCCAGUGACAAUUCGACACACAGGGGGGAGAGAAGAAAAAAAAAAGAGAAUACUAUUAAGGUUUUUUUUAAUUUUUCUUCAUGAGAUUUUUUUUUAAAAACAAUUAAAAAUAUACUAAAAAUAUAUUAACCGUUAGAUCUAAUAGUGUUAGUUCUGGACCUUUGAUUUAAUAAGUUACAAUAGAGCUUACCGCACUAGAUUAAACCCCAAAUCCAUCUCAUCCGUUGAAAUAAUCUUCCCUUCAUCUUGUCGUGCCACGUUACCCGGUGUACUGAUCUUUCGGUGCACCGCUCUACACCAAACCAAAGAUCAGCUCAUCCAGAACGUCCGAUCCACCUGCAGAUCCAGCCAAUCACAGCCAUCCGAUCGUUUCAUCCGAGAUCCAACAACGUACAGUGUUUAACGGUGCAGGUACAUCAUGCACGCGUUCAUAUCUUUAGCUUUUAUUAUUUAGCUAGCACUGAUUUAUAAUUACAACAUUAUUAAAUACAUUUAUUUUAUAAGCUCACGCGCAUGAAAAUGUCAUCUCAUAUGUAUUAAAUUUGGUUUGAUUUGACAAUUCAAGUUACCAAGAGUCUAGCCUAGUUAGGUUUUAUUUUAAACAAAAUUAUUAAAAUAAUGUUAUUUUAAAAUUGAUUUGAACAACUCGAUGGAUAAACCCACGACGUGAGAUUUGUAUCUAUUAAGACCUCGAACCUAAUACGAGAACAAUGCACAGGCCAAUUUAGCAGCUUUGUGGUGUGAAAUCUAAUGAGUCGAAGACGAGGAUCGAGUACCGUGAAAUAUAAGUAUUUAGGUGGGUUACAAUAGCAGCCGAUUGAAUGCCAUCGGAUACCUAGCCUCCUCUGGACAGGGGAGUCAUACUCAUAUGGGAAUUUCCGUCUCUAUAUCACAGAGAAAAUGAGUUGUCUAUAGAGGACCUCCACAUUUUAAGACAAGCACAGCUCCUGAGUUCAAGUCAAGAUAAGCAACACCUUUCCGUGGCAACCCCAAUUAAUAUUUGAUAUCACCAUUAGGCUCUGAUUUAAAUCUCGACUUUUGAAAAUCUCUCCCAUUAUGUAAACAGCAGAUUUGUCAAUGUGUAGUCAAUAUUAAGAAUAUGGAAAUACAAAUAAAAUUGCUCAUAUAUAGCUUCAAUCCAUGCCUCAUCUCAUGUAGAGAUCACAGAGAACCUGAAUGAUGAGAUGAUGCACACGAGAUUGGCCUACCAUCUACAGGCAAACGACUUUGGUAGAGAAUAAUUGAGCAAACGUUUACCUUAAAAAUCUUAUGCUUGUGUAGUUACAAGUUUGUUGAACACAAAUCGGGCUUGUGGAAACCAUGAAUUCUAAUAAGAUUUUAUUUCAAAUAAUUCUAAAAAUGAUGGAUAUGGCCUCUCCAUAAUCCUCUCUGAAACUACAGGGGAUCUGCCUGCAGUUUGAAAUGAAGAAGAUGAAGAGGGUGGUGGAGCUGAGGCUUCACAAGUGGACUGAGCACCAUCUUGACUGCUCAAAUUCGUACUUGUUCCACCAGUAGAGCCUUUCAUCAAUGCCUUUGGUGCUGGUGGUCUUGCAAUCCCUACAAUUCCCUCAAGCAUUUGCACUACUUUUCCCAUUGUUGGUCUUUGAGAGGGAUGCUCCUGAAUGCACCAAAAGCUGACCUGAACAGCUCUCGUCACUUGUUCCAUGUCUACACCCUGAUCAGCAAGUCUCUUGUCAACAAUUGUCUCCACAUUACCUUUCUCAAACUCUCCAUAAGCCCACUCUGAGAAACCUCUUUUGAUUGAUUUCUUCUGAGACUUCAAAGUCCUCCCACUCACAAGCUCCAACAAAACCAUACCAUAACUGUAAAGAUCAGAUUUUGAUGUUAUUGGGAGGUUUGCUAGCCAUUCUGGUGCCAAAUAUCCUCUCGUGCCUCUAAUGGUAGUCAAGGACCGGUACCUUUGAUCCUUUGUGCUUAUAAGCUUCGCUAGGCCAAAAUCAGACACCUUGGCAUUGAAAUUCGCAUCCAAGAGAAUGUUUUCUGGCUUUAUAUCACAGUGAACAAUGCAAUCUCGACAUUCCUC